rnacentral:lncRNA from 1 species
CGACGUCGAUAUAGAAAAAUAUAAAAAACGAAAAAAGAGAUGAGAUCCUGUGCAAAUAUACUACGCCUUCGUAUAGCCAAUACAGAAUUUUUUACUUCUGAAGCCCAGCGAUCUCUGUCUCUGACACCGCCAUUGAUGCACUAGUUUAGUAAUUGUUAGGGCGUUUUAUUCCUCUAAAAUUCGAAAGGGAAUGAAUGUGCUGAGAUGAGAUUGGGAAAGGCACCUUCUUCGAAGCACAAAACCACCAAAUUCCUUUUUGUAUGUGUCAGCAUUUUGGGAGCAUUUCUCAUUGUAGAUCUGCUCUGGGCUUCCUCUUCUUCUUCUUCUUCUUCAUCGGCUUAUCGAUCGAUCGCAUCCAAUUGGCCUCGGCAAGGUUCCCAAACUUUCGUCGUUCCUAAGGUUGGUCAUACGAACAAUCGCUCCAUGUCUCCACAAAUUGAGGUUACUUUUACCAACUGCAUCCAUCCUUGCUUGUUAGUUAGUUCUGAACCGAAUGCGUUUAGAUAAAUGAAAAGAAAUUGAGUAUUUAUGUUAUUUACUCAAUUCUAACAGUUGAUGUGUGUAUUAUAUNNN